GAUUUCCGAAUGGGGAAACCCAGUGUGUUUCGACACACUAUCAUUAACUGAAUCCAUAGGUUAAUGAGGCGAACCGGGGGAACUGAAACAUCUAAGUACCCCGAGGAAAAGAAAUCAACCGAGAUUCCCCCAGUAGCGGCGAGCGAACGGGGAGCAGCCCAGAGCCUGAAUCAGUGUGUGUGUUAGUGGAAGCGUCUGGAAAGGCGCGCGAUACAGGGUGACAGCCCCGUACACAAAAAUGCACAUGCUGUGAGCUCGAUGAGUAGGGCGGGACACGUGGUAUCCUGUCUGAAUAUGGGGGGACCAUCCUCCAAGGCUAAAUACUCCUGACUGACCGAUAGUGAACCAGUACCGUGAGGGAAAGGCGAAAAGAACCCCGGCGAGGGGAGUGAAAAAGAACCUGAAACCGUGUACGUACAAGCAGUGGGAGCACGCUUAGGCGUGUGACUGCGUACCUUUUGUAUAAUGGGUCAGCGACUUAUAUUCUGUAGCAAGGUUAACCGAAUAGGGGAGCCGAAGGGAAACCGAGUCUUAACUGGGCGUUAAGUUGCAGGGUAUAGACCCGAAACCCGGUGAUCUAGCCAUGGGCAGGUUGAAGGUUGGGUAACACUAACUGGAGGACCGAACCGACUAAUGUUGAAAAAUUAGCGGAUGACUUGUGGCUGGGGGUGAAAGGCCAAUCAAACCGGGAGAUAGCUGGUUCUCCCCGAAAGCUAUUUAGGUAGCGCCUCGUGAAUUCAUCUCCGGGGGUAGAGCACUGUUUCGGCAAGGGGGUCAUCCCGACUUACCAACCCGAUGCAAACUGCGAAUACCGGAGAAUGUUAUCACGGGAGACACACGGCGGGUGCUAACGUCCGUCGUGAAGAGGGAAACAACCCAGACCGCCAGCUAAGGUCCCAAAGUCAUGGUUAAGUGGGAAACGAUGUGGGAAGGCCCAGACAGCCAGGAUGUUGGCUUAGAAGCAGCCAUCAUUUAAAGAAAGCGUAAUAGCUCACUGGUCGAGUCGGCCUGCGCGGAAGAUGUAACGGGGCUAAACCAUGCACCGAAGCUGCGGCAGCGACGCUGAUGCGUUGUUGGGUAGGGGAGCGUUCUGUAAGCCUGCGAAGGUGUGCUGUGAGGCAUGCUGGAGGUAUCAGAAGUGCGAAUGCUGACAUAAGUAACGAUAAAGCGGGUGAAAAGCCCGCUCGCCGGAAGACCAAGGGUUCCUGUCCAACGUUAAUCGGGGCAGGGUGAGUCGACCCCUAAGGCGAGGCCGAAAGGCGUAGUCGAUGGGAAACAGGUUAAUAUUCCUGUACUUGGUGUUACUGCGAAGGGGGGACGGAGAAGGCUAUGUUGGCCGGGCGACGGUUGUCCCGGUUUAAGCGUGUAGGCUGGUUUUCCAGGCAAAUCCGGAAAAUCAAGGCUGAGGCGUGAUGACGAGGCACUACGGUGCUGAAGCAACAAAUGCCCUGCUUCCAGGAAAAGCCUCUAAGCAUCAGGUAACAUCAAAUCGUACCCCAAACCGACACAGGUGGUCAGGUAGAGAAUACCAAGGCGCUUGAGAGAACUCGGGUGAAGGAACUAGGCAAAAUGGUGCCGUAACUUCGGGAGAAGGCACGCUGAUAUGUAGGUGAAGUCCCUCGCGGAUGGAGCUGAAAUCAGUCGAAGAUACCAGCUGGCUGCAACUGUUUAUUAAAAACACAGCACUGUGCAAACACGAAAGUGGACGUAUACGGUGUGACGCCUGCCCGGUGCCGGAAGGUUAAUUGAUGGGGUUAGCGCAAGCGAAGCUCUUGAUCGAAGCCCCGGUAAACGGCGGCCGUAACUAUAACGGUCCUAAGGUAGCGAAAUUCCUUGUCGGGUAAGUUCCGACCUGCACGAAUGGCGUAAUGAUGGCCAGGCUGUCUCCACCCGAGACUCAGUGAAAUUGAACUCGCUGUGAAGAUGCAGUGUACCCGCGGCAAGACGGAAAGACCCCGUGAACCUUUACUAUAGCUUGACACUGAACAUUGAGCCUUGAUGUGUAGGAUAGGUGGGAGGCUUAGAAGUGUGGACGCCAGUCUGCAUGGAGCCGACCUUGAAAUACCACCCUUUAAUGUUUGAUGUUCUAACGUUGACCCGUAAUCCGGGUUGCGGACAGUGUCUGGUGGGUAGUUUGACUGGGGCGGUCUCCUCCUAAAGAGUAACGGAGGAGCACGAAGGUUGGCUAAUCCUGGUCGGACAUCAGGAGGUUAGUGCAAUGGCAUAAGCCAGCUUGACUGCGAGCGUGACGGCGCGAGCAGGUGCGAAAGCAGGUCAUAGUGAUCCGGUGGUUCUGAAUGGAAGGGCCAUCGCUCAACGGAUAAAAGGUACUCCGGGGAUAACAGGCUGAUACCGCCCAAGAGUUCAUAUCGACGGCGGUGUUUGGCACCUCGAUGUCGGCUCAUCACAUCCUGGGGCUGAAGUAGGUCCCAAGGGUAUGGCUGUUCGCCAUUUAAAGUGGUACGCGAGCUGGGUUUAGAACGUCGUGAGACAGUUCGGUCCCUAUCUGCCGUGGGCGCUGGAGAACUGAGGGGGGCUGCUCCUAGUACGAGAGGACCGGAGUGGACGCAUCACUGGUGUUCGGGUUGUCAUGCCAAUGGCACUGCCCGGUAGCUAAAUGCGGAAGAGAUAAGUGCUGAAAGCAUCUAAGCACGAAACUUGCCCCGAGAUGAGUUCUCCCUGACCCUUUAAGGGUCCUGAAGGAACGUUGAAGACGACGACGUUGAUAGGCCGGGUGUGUAAGCGCAGCGAUGCGUUGAGCUAACCGGUACUAAUGAACCGUGAGGCUUAACCUU
rnacentral:rRNA from 1 species